CUCGUGUCCGCACGUGCGUGUCUCGGUCAGUAGCCGCUGCGCUUCUCGAACUUCUCUCUCGGCGGUUCAGGAGGCUCUGCCGCAGCCGGGGCCCUCCUGUGACCUGCAUGUACUGGGGGAUUCGCAGGGAGGAUGUCGGGACACCCCGGAAGCUGGGAAAUGAUUUCCAGUGCUUUCAGUCUCAUCCAUCCUCUACAAAAAUGUGGAAUAUUUUAGAACUCGGUUGCCUUUGAGGAUGUGGCUGUGAACUUCACCCAGGAGGAGUGGGCUUUGUUGGAUCCUUCCCAGAAGAAUCUCUAUAGAGACGUGAUGCAGGAAACCUUCAGGAAUCUGGCUUCCAUAGGAAACAAAGGGGAAGACCAGAGCAUUGAAGAUCAGUACAAAAAUUCUUCAAGAAAUCUAAGUUCAUUUCAGAUACAUCAGAGAAAUCACACUGGAGAGAAACCCUAUGAAUGUAUGGAAUGUGGGAAAGCCUUAGGUUUUUCCCGUUCUCUUAAUAGACAUAAAAGGAUUCACACUGGAGAAAAACGCUAUGAAUGUAAGCAAUGUGGGAAAGCCUUCAGUCGUUCCAGUCACCUUCGUGACCAUGAAAGAACUCAUACUGGAGAGAAACCCUAUGAAUGUAAGCACUGUGGGAAAGCCUUCCGUUACUCCAAUUGCCUUCACUACCAUGAAAGAACUCACACUGGAGAGAAACCUUAUGUG
rnacentral:sRNA from 1 species